rnacentral:tRNA from 1 species
UGGGGUGUGGCCAAGCGGUAAGGCAGCGGGUUUUGAUCCCGUCAUUCGGAGGUUCGAAUCCUUCCACCCCAG